rnacentral:rRNA from 1 species
AUUGAACGCUGGCGGCAGGCCUAACGCAUGCAAGUCGAGCGGAUGAAGGGAGCUUGCUCCUGGAUUCAGCGGCGGACGGGUGAGUAAUGCCUAGGAAUCUGCCUGGUAGUGGGGGAUAACGUCCGGAAACGGGCGCUAAUACCGCAUACGUCCUGAGGGAGAAAGUGGGGGAUCUUCGGACCUCACGCUGUCAGAUGAGCCUAGGUCCGAUUAGCUAGUUGGUGGGGUAAAGGCCUACCAAGGCGACGAUCCGUAACUGGUCUGAGAGGAUGAUCAGUCACACUGGAACUGAGACACGGUCCAGACUCCUACGGGAGGCAGCAGUGGGGAAUAUUGGACAAUGGGCGAAAGCCUGAUCCAGCCAUGCCGCGUGUGUGAAGAAGGUCCUCGGAUUGUAAAGCACUUUAAGUUGGGAGGAAGGGCAGUAAGUUAAUACCUUGCUGUUUUGACGUUACCAACAGAAUAAGCACCGGCUAACUUCGUG